rnacentral:miRNA from 1 species
UGAAAUAGAGUCAUGUGGAACG